CUGGUUUCCCCUAAGUUUCAGCAGAAAAAAAUAGGCAAGAUAAAAAUUGAGAGAUCAUUAUCCACUGAUUCUUCCCAGUCAUAAUAGGCUGCUUAGCUUUACCAGGUCAGAAGGGGCCUAGUAUGACAUAUAUAUAUAUUAAAGAAAGAAACAUAGAUGUACAUAUCAAAGACUGACAAGAAAAAAAAAAAAAAGGAAAAGAAAAUACAAUUCUUCUGACCUUAAGGUUAUAUACAACAUCAUAGGAGAUUCCUUACAUCCUCAAUCUAUUAAGUGGUACUGCAUACAGUGAUAGAAGAAAACUGCUGCCUCUGAGAAGAGAUGAAAAACACAGCAAAGCUCCUGCAGAGUAACCCUGAAAUGGUAACAGAAGCAGACUGUGAAGGGAGUCCCUACUGAGAUCUUUUGAUUAACCUUGCUAUGAUAUAUCCACAUUCAAUGGAAAGUUCUGCUUGGAUAAAAAAAUGCAACAAAGGAUAUGCCUUCCUCUUAAGGAUUCCUGGCCUGUACUCCCAUUUCCAAG
ensembl:lncRNA